UACGGAGGGUGCGAGCGUUGUUCGGAAUUAUUGGGCGUAAAGGGCGCGUAGGCGGUUGUGUAAGUCAGAUGUGAAAUACUCCGGCUUAACCGGGGAACUGCGUUUGAAACUACACAGCUAGAGUACAGGAGAGGGAAAUGGAAUUCCCGGUGUAGAGGUGAAAUUCGUAGAUAUCGGGAGGAACACCAGUGGCGAAGGCGAUUUUCUGGCCUGAUACUGACGCUGAGGCGCGAAAGCGUGGGGAGCAAACAGGAUUAGAAACCCGAGUAGUCC
rnacentral:rRNA from 1 species